rnacentral:lncRNA from 1 species
AAAUUAUAUUAUUCAUGCCGACAAGUGACAAGAGACUCGUGAUUGGUAUCCGAUAUUUCAAGUUUAAAUUUUAAUUAAUUUAUAUUUUCAGUUAAAAUUUAUUUUUAAAUGAAAUAAAUGAAGCGGAUAGUAUGCUAUCUAUCUCUUAAAAAAAAAAUUUACAUUACUCAUUUGGUAUAAUAAUUUUUAAUAUAACUAUAAAUAU